UACGUAGGGUGCGAGCGUUGUCCGGGAUUAUUGGGCGUAAAGAGCUCGUAGGCGGUUUGUCGCGUCUACUGUGAAAACCCGAGGCUUAACCUCGGGCCUGCAGUCGAUACGGGCAGACUAGAGUUCGGUAGGGGAGACUGGAAUUCCUGGUGUAGCGGUGAAAUGCGUAGAUAUCGAGAGGACCACCUGCGGCGAAGGCGGGUUGCUGGGCUGACACUGACGCUGAGGCGCGAAAGCUAGGGGAGCGAACGGG
rnacentral:rRNA from 1 species